GACGAACGCUGGCGGCGUGCUUAACACAUGCAAGUCGAACGGAAAGGCCCUGCUUUUGUGGGGUGCUCGAGUGGCGAACGGGUGAGUAACACGUGAGUAACCUGCCCUUGACUUUGGUAUAACUUCAGGAAACUGGGGCUAAUACCGGAUAGGAGCUCCUGCUGCAUGGUGGGGGUUGGAAAGUUUCGGCGGUUGGGGAUGGACUCGCGGCUUAUCAGCUUGUUGGUGGGGUAGUGGCUUACCAAGGCUUUGACGGGUAGCCGGCCUGAGAGGGUGACCGGCCACAUUGGGACUGAGAUACGGCCCAGACUCCUACGGGAGGCAGCAGUGGGGAAUAUUGCACAAGGGGCGGAAGCCGGAGGCAGCAACGCCGCGUGCGGGAUGACGGCCUUCGGGUGGUAAACCGCUUUCGCCUGUGACGAAGCGUGAGUGACGGUAAUGAGUAAAGAAGCACCGGCUAACUACGUG
rnacentral:rRNA from 1 species